UACAGAGGUCUCAAGCGUUGUUCGGAUUCAUUGGGCGUAAAGGGUGCGUAGGUGGCGUCGUAAGUCGGGUGUGAAAUUUCGGAGCUUAACUCCGAAACUGCAUUCGAUACUGCGGUGCUUGAGGACUGGAGAGGAGACUGGAAUUUACGGUGUAGCAGUGAAAUGCGUAGAGAUCGUAAGGAAGACCAGUGGCGAGGGCGGGUCUCUGGACAGUUCCUGACACUGAGGCACGAAGGCCAGGGGAGCAAACGGG
rnacentral:rRNA from 1 species